rnacentral:rRNA from 1 species
UACGUAGGGGGCGAGCGUUGUCCGGAUUCAUUGGGCGUAAAGGGUGUGUAGGUGGCGCCGUAAGUCGGGUGUGAAAUUUCGGAGCUUAACUCCGAAACUGCAUUCGAUACUGCGGUGCUUGAGGACUGGAGAGGAGACUGAAUUCAUGGUGUAGCAGUGAAAUGCGUAGAGAUCAUGAGGAAGACCAGUGGCGAAGGCGGGUCUCUGGACAGUUCCUGACACUGAGACACGAAGGCCAGGGGAGCAAACGGG